AGCAAGCCCAAGAGGAUCAGUGGUUUAGACCACAGUACCACCUACAUCCAUAAGUGAGUGGAGAGGAACUACCAGCCAAUUUGCAGAAGCUUCUCUCGGUGAUUACCUGAGACCCAUCCUUUUCCAGCUCUUUACCUGCAUGGAUAGGCAGAGGAGAGGGAAGCGUCACUUACUCAAUUUUGGUCUGUCACAGAGCUGUUGAAGGACCACAAGCUUUGCCAGAAAAGUGUAACAAUAGGGGUGUUGAUUCAUUGGAAGCCUAGAUUGUGAUUGAAAUUCAUUCGUAUUUUAAAGAAGAAAAAGAAGAAGAAGAAGAGGAAGAAGAGGUUACACUAACAUUGUCAGUGCCUAAUAAGUCAUUAUUGUGCUUGGCAGAAGAAAAGCAAAUUACAACAGUUUAAUUGAAAACCUUAAGAGGUAAAAGAGAAGAAGACUGUUAACACAAUUUCAGCAAGACUCAAACAUCUCCUUUCUACCAAAGAACAAGUACUACAAAGGAGAGAAAUAGAUUUAAAAAUAAUCAUUAAUUGAGGUAAACUUGGCACAAAGAUGGCAGAAUUCUAAUUAACUUGCAACCUUUCCUAUCAUAACAUUCGGUUAGAGAGAUGGCACUGUUCUAUUUCCCCUUGUAAGCUAAUAUGUAGCUGAAGUAUAAAUUGACACUCCACAGCAUACAUAAAUUUUCUUUAUUCUGAACCAAAUUUAAUUUCUGCUAUGCUAUUUCUGGCAUCCUGAAAACAUCCAGUUGCCCCACCUGAACUUGACAUUUCCUACUUAGCUUGAGUUAAUUGGCUGUAGAGUGGGAAAAUCGUGUUAAUUGGGUCUGCGUCAUUGAAGAAAACAGUUCUAGAACAGGCCCACCUUACAAAGGGCUAUUGUAAAGUGCCAUAAGGCUCAGAUUGGAGGCUCAGGGAGCACAGCCCAGAUGCCUCAUUCUUUGUACCACUCUGUCCAAAGGGUGAUACUGCAGCUGCCAACAAAUCAGGCGACACAAGGGGCCAAAAGGGGUUCCACCAUAUUAUCCUGCUCUUCAGCUGGCAAGACUCCCAGAUCAGCUUACAUAAAAAUAUUUUUCAAAACACAAGUACUCAGUACAAACAACAGCAAUAUAAGCAGCAGAGCAGAAAAAUAUCCCAGCUAAAAACAAAAAAAGCUAUUGACUCGAAAAGGUUUGGUCUGGGCAAGUAAUUCACCUGACACCAAGGAAGAAAAGAAAGCAGACUUGGUACCACAUGGCCCUCUCUGGAGAGGGACUUCUAAAGAUGGGGCACUAUAAUCAACAACAACAACAACAACACCCUGUCACAGGUCACCACUCACCUUACUGUUGAUAGCUUUGAAGGACAAUUGUAGCGUUCAGGCAGCUUUUCGCAGAAGAAGGUGGUUCUAUAAAGUUGUUGACAAUGGCCUAGUCCUUAGUCUGAACAACUCAUCAUAAGGGCAAACCUGUGUUAGUACUGCCUGUCCACACCUACAAUUUUGAUCCCAUGCUUGCAUUCAGGAUUGUAGCUGAGGUGUGCAGCAACAGGACCAAGCCUGAAUUUUUUUGCCACCUCAUGCAAUAAAAGAGUUGUGCUGAGCGGAGAUCCCGCAUAAUAUUGUAUAAGAUGCUACGGAGCAGCUCCUGAAUUUGCAAAAAUUGUGGCUUAACAUCUUUGUGGCACAGAGGGGAGUCUGGGUGUGUGCGCGUUACACCUUUCAGAAUGCAUGCUGCUUUACUGGCACUGUUAAAAGCCCUGCCUCCUAAGAGACUGCUUGGCUUGUUUGUAUAGCUGCCCAGCCCUUGACAGCAAGGGAUAGCAGAUGGCUCCUACAGUAUUUCCAGCAGAGACCUUGGCCUACGCAACUUACUCAAGGAAAGUAUAAACAGCAAAUUAGCAAUUACUGCUAAGGUGCUGAGGUUACAGAUAGAGGAAAAAUCUAACCCAUACAAUUUUAGUCCUGCCGUAAAGUUCAUGCAAAUUUAUACCUUACCUUACUAAUGUUAAGAUUAUUCUCCUUAACCUUUUAUAACGUAUGUGGAGCAUGAAUAACUCUUUUCCAAGUAGUAACGGUGUUUGUUAUCUGUUGCUGCUCUGAACUAAUUUAGGCGCUGCUCCCAUAGCACUAAAGCACAAUAACAGAAGACAAGGUUUAAGGAUAUAGCAAGAACUUUGAUGGAUCAGAACCAAAGGCAUAUCUAGUUUGGCAUCCUCUUUCUCAAAGCAGCUGGCCAGAUGCCUAUAGGAAACCCACAGGCAGCACAGAAGGGCAAACACCCUCUCCCACUGUUCCUCCUUCUGCCUGCAACUGUCCAUGUUAUUUUGGACGGACAUUCCUGUACUUCCCUUUAUCCUGGCUGUUGACCGGCCCUUUCCCCCUUACCAUUCAGAGUUGCUUUGUUAUAUUUCUUUAAGUGUAAUUGUGCACACAUCCACCUAUCCCCACAUUUCUACUAGUUAUCUUUCUCCUCCUUGACUUUUAAAGAACCAUUUUGCAAACCCAUAGACAUUUAUUUUAUAUACCUUGUCUUUCCUUCAGCAUGUCUCUAUAAUGGAAAUAUCUGUAACCUAGUUCACAUUUAUUUUGGCAGAUACGUACUUUGAGAUCUCUCAGUAAAGCUGUUAUAUAAGAGAAACUAUGAUUGUGCAUUAAGCCAAACCAGAUGUCUAGUGAGAAGAGAAUAUUUGAAAUAAAAUGGGAUUGAAUGGUUCCCCUCCCCCUGCUACAUUGGUUCUUUCCUCUUUUCCUGAUUACUAUUAGUCUUGACAAUAAUGAUCUCAUCAA